ACUCCUACGGGAGGCAGCAGUGGGGAAUAUUGCACAAUGGGCGCAAGCCUGAUGCAGCCAUGCCGCGUGUAUGAAGAAGGCCUUGGGUUGUAAAGUACUUUCAGCAGUGAGGAAGGUGGGUAUGUUAAUAGCAUACUCAUUUGACGUUAGCUGCAGAAGAAGCACCGGCUAACUCCGUGCCAGCAGCCGCGGUAAUACGGAGGGUGCGAGCGUUAAUCGGAAUUACUGGGCGUAAAGCGCAUGCAGGUGGUUUGUUAAGUCAGAUGUGAAAGCCCGGGGCUCAACCUCGGAAUUGCAUUUGAAACUGGCAAACUAGAGUACUGUAGAGGGGGUAGAAUUUCAGGUGUAGCGGUGAAAUGCGUAGAGAUCUGAAGGAAUACCGGUGGCGAAGGCGGCCCCUGGACAGAUACUGACACUCAGAUGCGAAA
rnacentral:rRNA from 1 species